rnacentral:rRNA from 1 species
UACGUAGGGACCAAGCGUUGUUCGGAUUUACUGGGCGUAAAGGGCGCGUAGGCGGUUCGCUAAGUUGAACGUGAAAACUCUGGGCUUAACCCAGAGCCUGCAUUCAAUACUGGCGGGCUAGAGUUCUGGAGGGGAUAGCGGAAUUCCUGGUGUAGCGGUGAAAUGCGUAGAUAUCAGGAGGAACACCGGUGGCGAAGGCGGCUAUCUGGACAGAGUCUGACGCUGAGGCGCGAAAGCCAGGGGAGCAAACGGG